UACGUAGGGUGCAGGCGUUAAUCGGAAUUACUGGGCGUAAAGCGUGCGCAGGCGGUUUGCUAAGACAGGUGUGAAAUCCCCGGGCUUAACCUGGGAACUGCGCUUGUAACUGGCAAGCUAGAGUGUGGCAGAGGGGGGUGGAAUUCCACGUGUAGCAGUGAAAUGCGUAGAGAUGUGGAGGAACACCGAUGGCGAGGGCAGCCCCCUGGGCUAACACUGACGCUCAUGCACGAAAGCGUGGGGAGCAAACAGG
rnacentral:rRNA from 1 species